GCUACGAUGGCCGAGUGGGUAAGGUGUUGGAUUCAAAAUCCAAUGGGUGUUUUCCCUCGCAGGUACGAACCCUGUUCGCAGCC